GGGCCCGCACAAGCGGUGGAGCAUGUGGUUUAAUUCGAUGCAACGCGAAGAACCUUACCAGGGUUUGACAUCCUGCGAAUCUCUUGGAAACGAGAGAGUGCCUUCGGGAACGCAGUGACAGGUGGUGCAUGGCUGUCGUCAGCUCGUGUCGUGAGAUGUUGGGUUAAGUCCCGCAACGAGCGCAACCCACGUCGUUAGUUGCCAGCGUGUAAUGACGGGGACUCUAACGGAACUGCCGGUGCAAACCGUGAGGAAGGUGGGGGACGACGUCAAAUCAUCACGGCCCUUACAUCCUGGGCUACACACGUACUACAAUGCUACGGACAAAGGGCAGCAAACUCGCGAGAGCUAGCAAA
rnacentral:rRNA from 1 species